GAGUGGCGGACGGGUGAGUAAUGCGCAGGAAUAUGCCUUAAAGUGGGGGACAACUUGGGGAAACUCAAGCUAAUACCGCAUAUGCUCUGAGGAGCGAAGCUGGGGACCUUUGGGCCUGGCGCUUUAAGAAUAGCCUGCGUCUGAUUAGCUAGUUGGUGGGGUAAAGGCCUACCAAGGCGAUGAUCAGUAGCUGGUCUGAGAGGAUGGACAGCCACACUGGGACUGAGACACGGCCCAGACUCC
rnacentral:rRNA from 1 species